CCUGAUAGCUCAGUUGGUAAAGAAUCUGCCUGCAAUGCAGGAGACCCUGGUUUGAUUCCUGGAUCAGGA
rnacentral:tRNA from 1 species